rnacentral:lncRNA from 1 species
CAUGGCCAGUAGCUCGACCCCGGGUCUCUUCUCCAGGGCUUUUCCGGGCCCCGCGCAUCCUAGUCCUGGAACUCGUCGCCAAGGUGAAGGGGAUCUGCCCCUCGGAAGUCUCUAGGGAUGCUGAACAACAGUCCGGGGUCUCCCACUCCAGCCCUUUGUGUAAACCGCAACUCAGAACACAAGCAGUGGUUUCCUGAUUCCAAAAAAGGGCGUAGGCGUGGGCUCCCCUUGACCCAUCUCUUCAAAAGAACCUGGAAGCCAGAUUUCUACUUCAGGAUUUUUUUUUUUUUUUUUUUUUGAAGAAUUUUUCCUGUUAAAACUUAACUGUAGGUCAACUAGAAAAUUCAUAUGAGCAAAAAUCAUUUGAGAGUUCUCAAAAUCUGUACAUGUGUAUAAGUAUAUUAUCACUUUGUUUUUAGAAGGAAAUAUGAAUAUUAGUAUCACUUCUCCAUUUACCCAUUAAAAGUGAGUUAUGAAAUGCAUUUGGCAAGGUUAAAGUGCAGGAAUCUUAGGCUCCAUCACUUUUUGGGUAACUGCCACUCAAUGGAGAUAAAGAAUAAACUUUUUUAAAAAACAUGCUGAAAACGUUUACUUAUACCAAUUUUAAAAACAGCUAAAGCUCAUCGACAUUUAAUGAGUAUGAGGGAAAGUAUGUCUGUGUCCUUAAUUUUCUUUGCAUCCCAAUUUUUUAAAAAUAUAUAUAAGUAUAUUUUUAUAUAAAUACAUAUAGACAAUCUGGCUGGGUACGGUUUUGCAUUGUUGUCGCAGUCUAUCAGUCUCUUCAAGUGGAUAUUUCUAGGUCAGUGGCACAAUGUCUUUUAAUACUACCUGUCUUCUUACUCUUUAACUUUCUGAGAGGUGCUAAUGAUAAGCUGU